GACGAACGCUGGCGGCGUGCUUAACACAUGCAAGUCGAACGGAAAGGCCCUGCUUUUGUGGGGUGCUCGAGUGGCGAACGGGUGAGUAACACGUGAGUAACCUGCCCUUGACUUUGGGAUAACUUCAGGAAACUGGGGCUAAUACCGGAUAGGAGCUCCUGCUGCAUGGUGGGGGUUGGAAAGUUUCGGCGGUUGGGGAUGUACUCGCGGCUUAUCAGCUUGUUGGUGGGGUAGUGGCUUACCAAGGCUUUGACGGGUAGCCGGCCUGAGAGGGUGACCGGCCACAUUGGGACUGAGAUACGGCCCAGAAUCCUACGGGAGGCAGCAGUGGGGAAUAUUGCACAAUGGGCGGAAGCCUGAUGCAGCAACGCCGCGUGCGGGAUGACGGCCUUCGGGUUGUAAACCGCUUUCGCCUGUGACGAAGCGUGAGUGACGGUAAUGGGUAAAGAAGCACCGGCUAACUACGUG
rnacentral:rRNA from 1 species